rnacentral:tRNA from 1 species
GGGCUUUAACUUGUUGAAUUCUGGUAUGCCAAAUUUAAGCUAGUUUGAAAUCAAGUAAUUGAAAUUCAUUGAAUAAAGAGCUGACUCUUAAUCAGCGGGUCGUAGGUUCGAGCCCUACAUCACCCACCA